rnacentral:rRNA from 1 species
UACAGAGGGUGCAAGCGUUAAUCGGAAUGACUGGGCGUAAAGGGCGCGUAGGCGGAUGGCACAGUCAGAUGUGAAAUUCCCGGGCUUAACCUGGGGGCUGCAUUUGAUACGUGUUGUCUUGAGUUCGGAAGAGGGUCGUGGAAUUCCCAGUGUAGAGGUGAAAUUCGUAGAUAUUGGGAAGAACACCGGUGGCGAAGGCGGCGACCUGGUCCGACACUGACGCUGAGGCGCGAAAGCGUGGGGAGCAAACAGG